GCCACAACGUUGACAUGAAUCUCUUCGGCUAAAGUUCAAGUGUUGGCAUGACCUGCAAUUCCAAUCUCCUGGCCUACUACCCAUUUCCGUCUCUACAAACGGGAGAAGUAAAUAAAACAGGUGCUAUGGAUAUGGGAUAAGCUCGCAUCAAGAACCCAUGUGAAAAUUAGUGGAAAAGAGAAAGGAGAAAGGGAGAGAAAUUGGUGGAGAGUUUCGAUAAAGAUUAGUCGAAGCUGAUGAUGAUGAAUGAAUGAAGAAAGGAGUCUUCGAGGUUAGAUUUGACCAUCUUCUUUUUUCUUA